GAUGAACGCUGGCGGCGUGCCUAACACAUGCAAGUCGAACGGAAAGGCCCUGCUUUUGUGGGGUGCUCGAGUGGCGAACGGGUGAGUAACACGUGAGUAACCUGCCCUUGACUUUGGGAUAACUUCAGGAAACUGGGGAUAAUACCGGAUAGGAGCUCCUGCACCGUGGGGGGGGUUGGAAAGUUUCGGCGGUUGGGGAUGGACUAGAGGCUUAUCAGCUGGUUGGUGGGGUAGUGGCGUACCAAGGCUUUGACGGGUAGCCGGCCUGGGAGGGUGAACGGCCACAUUGGGCCUGCGAGACGGACCAGACUGGUACGGGAGGCAGCAGUGGGAAAUAUUACACAGUGGGCGGGAGCCUGAUGCAGCAACGCCGGGUGCGGGAUGACGGCCUUCGGGGUAUAAACCGCUGUCGCCUGUGACGAAGCGUGAGUGACGGUAAUUAGUAAAGAAGCACCGGCUAACUACGUG
rnacentral:rRNA from 1 species